rnacentral:lncRNA from 1 species
UGUGUGUCCGUCCCUGCUCUGUGUGUGUGUGUCCCUGCCGGGUCUGUGUGUAUAUGAGUGUGUGUGACUGUGUGUUUGCUCCAUCCGUACAAAUCUGUCUCCGUCCAACCCCUGGCUCUGUGUCAGCUGCACACGUCGGUGUGUUCACAGCUUGUGUCAGUCAGGCCCCCAUGUUCACGUGUCGCUCCGCGGCCCCGCCCGGCCGUGUGUGUCGGCCGGAUCGACGCAGCCAGACGCAGACUCAGCCGUCGGCCCCGAGCGUCCACAACCCGCCUCGCCCGGCCGGCGCCGCCCAUGGGCAAAACUCUGCUCCUGUGCCUGGCCGCUCCGGCCUGCGCCGGCCUGGGCGCAGCCCUGCAGUGCCUGAAAUGCGACUUCACCGCGUUCGACGCCCCGUGUGAGCUCAGCGCGGUCACCUGCCCGGUCGGGCAGCUCUGUGCCACCAUCCGGGGGCACACAGGUAACUGCCCUGCCCGCGGCUCCGGGCUCCUUCCCCUCCUGGGGACCCACCCACUCGGUCCCCAUCUCCUUCCCCCUCCUGGGGACCCACCUGCUCGGUCCCCAUCUCCUUCCCCCUUCUCCAGCUCCAUCACUCCCGCUUGGUCCCUGUCCCGUUUCCUCCUCCAGCUCCGUCUCCUUCCCCCUCUUGGGGCUCCCUCCCGCUCGGUCCCCGUCCCUUUCCCCCUCCCUGGGGACCCACCUGCUCGGUCCCCGUCCCCUUCCCCUUCCCCCUCCCUGGGGUUCCCUCCCACUUGGUCCCCAUGCCCUUCCCGCUCCCUGGGGCUCUCUCCCGCUCGGUCAUCCCUGUCCCCUUCUCCGGCUCCAUCGCUCCCUCUUGGUCCCUGUCCUGUUCCCUCGUUCUCCAGCUCCGUGUCUCUCGGUCCCCGUCCCCUUCCCUUGUUCUCUUGCUCUAUCACACUCUCUUGUUCCUUUUCUUAUUCCCUCGUUUUCUCUCUCGUUCCUCUGUUCUCUUUUUUGUUCUCUCUUUCCCUUGGUUCCUCCCUCCUUCCUUCGUUCUCUCGUUUCCUUCUCUCAUUCCCUCUCUGCCCCCCCAGCCGGCCACAAGACGAUUGUGCGGAAGAACUGCCUGGACGAGGGGAAAUGCAGCACCCAGGACACGGCGACCUGGGCCGGCGUCACCUACACCACCUCCUACACCUGCUGCCAGGGCGACUUCUGCAAUUAGGCCAGGCCCCGGAGCACCCCCGGGGCCGGCGCCUCUGACUGUCCCCCCUUUCAGGGGGCAGAUUUGUCUUGCGUACCCACAAAUCUCACCUCCCUUAAAAACGACCUGCUGACGUCAAAAUCCAGAAGUGGCCCAGCCCCGCUAUGACUGAAUGGUGGGUGACUCUCUCCUUCUGAUCCGUAAUUAUAAAUAAAUCAACUGGAAUAGAAACCCUGUGCUUACA